GAUGAACGCUGGCGGCGUGCCUAAUACAUGCAAGUCGAGCGAACUGAUUAGAAGCUUGCUUCUAUGACGUUAGCGGCGGACGGGUGAGUAACACGUGGGCAACCUGCCUGUAAGACUGGGAUAACUUCGGGAAACCGAAGCUAAUACCGGAUAGGAUCUUCUCAUUCAUGGGAGAUGAUUGAAAGAUGGUUUCGGCUAUCACUUACAGAUUGGCCCGCGGUGCAUGAGCUAGUUGGUGAGGUAACGGCUCAACAAGGCAACGAUGCAUAGCCGACCUGAGAGGGUGAUCGGCCACACUGGGACUGAGACACGGCCCAGACUCCUACGGGAGGCAGCAGUAGGGAAUCUUCCGCAAUGGACGAAAGUCUGACGGAGCAACGCCGCGUGAGUGAUGAAGGCUUUCGGGUCGUAAAACUCUGUUGUUAGGGAAGAACAAGUACAAGAGUAACUGCUUGUACCUUGACGGUACCUAACCAGAAAGCCACGGCUAACUACGUGCCAGCCGCCGCUGUAACAC
rnacentral:rRNA from 1 species